rnacentral:lncRNA from 1 species
GAGGGAGUAAUGGAGAACAACAAAACAAAAUAAGAAAACCAAAGUCGGUCGGAAUUGGGAUUUAUAACUUUUGGAAAGGUUUAUUUUAUUUUAUUUUCUUGGCCUUCAAGUCUAUCUCGGGAAAACAGAGAGCCGUGAAAAUCUAUAUAAAGGAAAGCCUCAAUCACUUCACUCACAAAUUAACUCUUUUAGUAACAAAUAUUUGCUCCGCUCGUCGGCAAGCAACUUCACUUUCAAUCCGCUCUCCGUGUUCCGGCUCUGCUUAAUCUUUAAGCAAUCUCAAUCGGCGCUUUUGUUCCUGCUGUGCGUAAUUUUGAGGAACCCCAAUUGGUUUAUUCAAUCACCAGCAUUAUUACAUCUAUAUCGUUUACUUGAUUGUUCGUUAGCUCGUUGGAUUGUGUAACCCUAGCAGACUCAAGAAUCUUAUCAUUUGGAGAUCUAUUUGAUAGAGAAGGACUGCUUCUGUAAUAUGUUGACUCUCUAUUCAUUAUGUUUGUAUUCAGUAUUUCAGUAGGCC